AUCGUUAUCAUUUCCCCUGCUUCCAUUUGUAGGAAGCUGCCUUAAUCACGAUGAACCCAGGCUACGCAGGCAGGACCGAGCUCCGGGACAACCUGGAGGCCGCUUCAGAUCCGUCUCCAUGAUUGUGCCCGACCACGCCGUCAUCGCAGAGGUGGACUUGUGAGCUGAGGGCUUCAAGUCCAGUGAGACUCUGGCGAAGAAGAUGAUUCAGCUGUAUAAGCUGUGCAGCAAGCAGCUUUCCCGGCAGGACCACUACGACUUCAGCAUGAGAGUCGUCAACUCUGUUAUCGUCAUGGCCGGGUCUCUGAUGCGAGAGGACCCACACCUGAGUGAGAACGUGGUGUUGAUUAGAGCGCUACGAUACUCCAACCUGCACAAGUUACUCAAGGAUGACGCAGAACUUAAAAUAAAAUAAAUUGAUAAAUAGUAAAGAACGCCAAAGCUUACAUAUGGAGUAUCAAAGGUGUUGGCUCAAAUUUAGCCUAUUACCCAAAAACACUUAAAAUUCAACUUAGAAGCCAAUACUCACAUCUACCUCUGAGCCCAGUGGGAGAUAGAAAAAAACACCAGUUGUGAGUGAGAAGAAGCAAGGGUCCAGCUUUAUUGGUUCCAUUCCACCACACGAGAUCCACACCGAUGAGAAUUCUCAGAAGUGAUCUGAUACCCUGAGCUUAAGCUCCAGUAUUUAUAUUGUAUUUACCCAGUAAAUAACCCAUAUGUUUCAAGAAGACUAUAUCACUACCAAUAGGGUUAAAAAAGAGCUCAUCUAGCUUACUAUUAUGUUCAAGAAAAGGGCUAUUCCACUUGCACAUAGAAUCAAAACCAGGGGUUUUCAAAUUACACAUAGAAUCAAAACCAGGGGAUUUCUAAUAACCCAGAAAAUCAAAACCAAGGGAUUUCUGAUAACCCAGAAAAUCAAAACCAAGGGAUUCUACUAACCCAGAGAAUCAAAACCAAGGGAUUUGAAUAACCCGUAAAAUCAAAAGUGGAGAGACAAAACAUUAUCAUUAUCACAGGAUCACUGGAAUCAGGCACUAGGAGGAAAUUCCAGGACAAAUUAGGAAAUACAAUUAACUGACAUUUGCAAAUUCUUUGCAACUAAAAAGCUGUAAUUAUAUACUAUAUAACUUUUUUUUAAAGCAUUUGAAGUAUAUAACAUUAGCACCUUGUAAUGUUAUACCAGAUGAAAAGUAAAGAAUCCUGGAACAUCUGAACAUCCAUAAUCUGAAAAUCUUGAACCUAGUGUCAAUCGAGUCAAUCCAAUCUUUGUGCGUUUAGCGGUAUUCAGUCGGACCUCUUUCCUGGUGUGGGCGUCCCCGUGCAUGACUACGGCGUGCUUCAGUCGAACAUCGAGGCAGCUCUAUGCGCUGCAACCCUUCUCCAGCAUGACCGCCAAGGUGAUCCAGCUGUACGAGACCAUGCUGGUGCACCAGGGCGUCUCGCUGGUGGGCCCUACAAGAGGCGGUUAGACCACGGCGUACCGUGCCCUCGCUGACGCACUGCGCACGCUCCACGAGACAGAGGGCUGCGAGGUGAAUCCCUUCUACAAGCCCAUCGAGACCGACGUGGUCAACCCGCAGUCAGUGAGCAUGGACGAGCUGUAUGGUGAAGACGACCCUCUCACACUGGAGUGGAGUGCCAUCAAACUGUCCCUCGGCAGUGACAUCGUCGACACGCACAAGUGGGUGGUGAGUGACGUACCUGUGGACGUGCCUGUGGAUUGAGAAAAUUACCGCCGUGUUGGACAACAACAAGACGCUCUGUCUGGCUAACGGUGAAAGGAUCAAGCUCACACCUUCUACACACAUGUUAUUCGAGGUGUUACCCAUCAGACACAGGUAGCACCGGUCCUAAAAACCAUCACAAACAAGCACAAGCAUGUCAUUUCCAAGAAGAUUUUUUUUUUUUACAUUAAACGCGUUCCUGAUGGAAAGGUCACACACAAACGUAUCUUUAAGACUUCACUCUUUCACACAGCUAUAACGAGCGAUAAACGCAUUCGAAGCAUGUUAUAAAGCCUCCGUAAUGCAUUACGCAUAGUAUUUAAAUAAAUAUUAUUAUAAUAACAUGCACUGCACUACAUUAUGCAUUAUGAAUUCUUAACAUAUUGUUAACAUGUCUUUACUGUGAGCGGGAUGAUGACCAGACGGAGGCAGGCUCCCGGGUACUCAUAUCCGUAGACGUACUGAUACAGGGCCAUUCUGGCCACGCACUUAUCCAGAUCCACGUCCCAGUAUUAGCACAGCUGCUUCUGCCACUCAAAGUUACUGCUCGAGUCCACCUACGUGAACACAUACAAAAUGACAUGUGAUAUAUAUACGGUCUCACUGUAUACGAAUUGGGCAUUCUCGCUGACGAUAUAGCGUGGAUAGUUUAUAAUGAGUGCGUUCAUACUGUAUAAACCUGGGAACUGAUUUGCAUAUGCACUGCUGUCAGAGCUGCAGUUAUUUUUAAAAGAUUUAUUAACAGCUUCUGACCAAUCAGAUCUGACCACACCCAUGAUUCCCUUCGCUCUGAAGAGAAGGCGUGUAGCCGUCUGUACCCUUUCAUUGACGAGCUCGGUGACGAUGUCUCUGGUGUGGACAUCCACAGUAAUGAGAGCUGUGAUGAUGCUCUGAUGUAUUUUGGGUAAGUUACCCAAGAGUGGCCAACACAUUCAGCCUCUGUAUAAACACACACACACACACACACACACAGAGUAAUACCCGUACAUUACCACAUAUUACACCAUACACCAUUAUGUCAUGUAAUCAGAGAAGGAAAUCUGUACUACAGUUCCCAGCAGCCACUGCAUCACAGUCACAUGACCAUCUGCACCUGGAUCACAUUCCUGGUAAGCACUUGUGUAUUUAGCCACAGUUUUCACUGCACUCUUUGUCUCACGUUUGUCUUUCUUUACCUUUGUCCCUGGUGCUGUGUUUUUCUCUUUGGUUUAUGUUUAGUCUUUGCCACAGUGAUUUGCCCCAAUGUCAGUGUCUUUUGUAUUUUGUUUAGUUCUUUAUUAAACUUGAAAAAUCUGCACUUG